UACGUAGGGGGCAAGCGUUGUCCGGAAUCACUGGGCGUAAAGCGCGCGCAGGCGGUCAUCUACGUCUGGGGUGAAAGCCCGGAGCUCAACUCCGGGAUUGCCUUGGAUACGGGAUGACUUGAGGAUCGGAGAGGCAAGGGGAAUUCCACGUGUAGCGGUGAAAUGCGUAGAGAUGUGGAGGAACACCAAUGGCGAAGGCAGCCUUCUGGGCCAACACUGACGCUCAUGCACGAAAGCGUGGGGAGCAAACAGG
rnacentral:rRNA from 1 species